rnacentral:rRNA from 1 species
UACAGAGGUCUCGAGCGUUAGUCGGAUUUAUUGGGCUUAAAGCGCGCGCAGGCGGUUCCUUAAGUCUGAUGUGAAAGCCCACGGCUCAACCGUGGAGGGUCAUUGGAAACUGGGGGACUUGAGUGCAGAAGAGGAGAGCGGAAUUCCACGUGUAGCGGUGAAAUGCGUAGAGAUGUGGAGGAACAGCAGUGGCGAAGGCGGCUCUCUGGUCUGUAACUGACGCUGAGGCGCGAAAGCGUGGGGAGCAAACAGG